GCCCCGCCCCUGGGCUCCGCCCCCCCACUCUCAGAAUUGGUCUUUGCUCUCAGACAAUUCCGCCCCUCCUGGAAAUUGGCAGGUCGGGAGAUAGAGUCCGGCCCUGCGGUAGGCGUCUUCUCUGGGCGGGUCUCGGGAACCCUGCGCGGCAUCUGCGGGCUCUGAGGAGGACCAGGAACGACUCACAGGCUGGAGUAUGGAGUGAUGGACAGAAAUUACAUAAUGUGGCAAGAGCAAGUCUUCGGUGAGACUGGAAGAAAACAUUCCAGCCAUCUGCCAAGAGCUUGUAGCUGGGAUGAGAUAUAUGCAUAGAUGGUGGAUUAUAAAAUGUUGGCGGCUACGUCUUUUCUGGAAGGUAUCGACUGACUCCAGAGUGGAAGCAAUCCUUCUCAGCGUGGUCUGAGGUUUGAGGAGGGUCACGAGGUGUCACAGAAGAUGGCAUGGAGAAGCCAGUGUGGACAGGGUGAGGAAAUACUUAAGGUAAAAAAGGAAAAUAUAGUGUGCUUGACAACGAUGGGGUUAUUCCUUUGGAAGAGGAACACCGCAGACUCAGAGCUGUGGAGUACUGGGACAGAAAACACCGAGCCAGCUAGGUCCACCAACGCCAUCCUCCUGCCUCCAAAGCGCACAGUCACCAUUGCCGGGAUCAUACUACUCACAAGGUACCAGUUAGGAGGAAUGUGUUGGGGACACAAUGGCUGGCUCCCUACGGCCAUGCACCUGGCGUCCUUCCUGGUGAUCACACCAGUCAAAGUAUGCUGGGCCUGGAGCCGAGUAGACAAAUAGUAAUCCCCUCUUUCUCUGCUUCCCCCCUGGUCCCGAGUACCUGCUGCAUCUCUGUCUUCCUCUGCACAAAGUGAUAAGGACCAGGACUUGAAAACUGGUUCUUCCUUGGUUCACCAGGAAUGAAUUGUUGAGUAAGACCUCUUGGGUCUAGAAUGAACUUAAAGGUGGCGAUCAUUUUCAAAUUCCAGGGGUCAUUUAAACCAUUUGAUUGGAUAUGAGAAAGACACAGACUUUGUAUCCCCUUGUCAGGGAUGGUAACCCAAACUGAGGCCUGUGCUUUCAGAGACUGUAGAUGACUGUGGUGGGCAUGUGCUCUAGCCUCUGAGAGGCCUGAUGGGGCCCAUCCUGCCAUUGCACUGGAGAGGAUGUGUUGGUCAAAUAGGUUGUGGGUCAGCUUUCUGGGUCACUGGGGUUUAUGCCAGGGAGGGCUAGAAUCCACCUCUCCCAGCUGCUUGCAUACAGCUCUUUCUGGCACUGCCCCAGUAGCCAGUAGCUACAAAUUUAACAGGACCAUGCAAUGAGGAAGGUGGACAUGCCUGUCCUAAUGAGGACAGGGCCAUCGCCCCUUCAUGGCAGCAUCCUUUCGUUCUGCUGGGUCUCUGUUUAAAGAUCUCACAACAAACCUGGCCCCCAGGAGGUCAUCUCAGAAGGCUCUGGCUGUGAAUGGGAUGCUCCUUGUAUCUUAGGAACUCAAAGAAUUGUUUCUAAAUAAAAUUAAUCCUAAUGAUACUCAUGUGUCUUCCUUUACUUAGCAAACUAGAUAAUGUUACUAAAGAUAGCCAUUGUAUUGCAUAAGUAAAAGAACAGGAAACUGGUCAGUUUCAGACCCUCUGUCCAGGUGCAGAAGAUACAGCAGGAGGAAGCACUCCUAGAGACAGCUAUGGGAAAGGAAUGAGGUUCCCACAGGUGACAUCACUAACGAGAUUGACAGCGAGAGGAAGGAGGAGCUGCAUGACAAUUAUGAAAAUAAGAUAUAGAUAACUCGAUAACUCUUUGUACCAAAUGAGGCAAAAAUUAAUGAAUGGGCAUAUUAAUACUUACAUGUUUUUGUUUUUUUUCUUUUCUUGCUCUUCCAGUAUGGCCUCCUGGAAGGAAAACACAGGCAGCGUUAGAAGCCUAGCCUCAACCAAUUAUAACCACUAGGAGUAAGGGGUGACCAGCGGCCAUUGAGGUAUGCUUGUCCCAGGAGACCUCAUGUCUGCAGCGGUGAUGGUAAAGUGGUCACCAUCCUUCUGAGAUCAAGUCAUGUUCCUGUCGCUUCUGCCUGUGGUAACUCCUCCCCAUGGGAUUCCCCAAGAAGGACUAAGUUCCUCCUGCACAGGACAUUCCUUAGAUAUUUGAAGGCAGAAGAUCCCCCCUCACUGACUUUUAGGCCAUUUCUCCAGUAAUAAGCAUUGGAUUUCUUCUUCAGCUACAUUUCAUGCUCUCACAUCUGUUCUGAAUUGCUUUUAAAGAGUAACACUAGUAAAAGAUUGGAAUUGUUCUGGUGGGGUCUUGAGGCCACCAGGAGCUGAGCUAGAGAGACUUCGGUCAUCUGAUGCAGGCUUGCAAGUCACUGUACAUCUCUUCAAGUUUUCUGGGUUUGCCUAUUUAUUUGCUAUGUAGUUUCUGAUCCCAAACACCUCUAUGGAUACUUUGCUGCUGGGACAGUGGGGGCGGGGCGACAAAUGGGUGAAAGUACAAAGGAGACCACAGAUAACAGCUGAGGUAAUGGGGGCCAGGCUCUCCCUAGGCUCGGAGGUCCUUUGUCAGCUCACAUCUCUCUCUGUCUCUGUCUCUCUUUCCCCCCAGCUCUACACAGAAGCAGAGGAUGUUAAUCUGGAAGGGGGCCUGGUAGCCUGGUGCUUUUCUGAGCCGAUGUAUGCAAAGAGGAAAAGCGAGUUGCCGCAGGGCUCUGGGCGAAGUCAGUGGAGCUCACAGUGGGCGCUGCAGGGCUCUUGCCUCAGGCCAGUUUGCUCUCUUUUAUAUGGUGACCUCCUCUCAAUGAUGGAUAGGAGGCAUCAAUGCUUCAUCACCUGGUCACAACCAAAGAGAGCUGGCUGCUUUCAACCACCGCCAGUCACCUAGAUGUCAUGGAUCGUAUCUUAUUAGUGCAGCUAUGGCAUUUUCUAAAAUCACACACUACACAUAAAUCCCUACGCUUGUCUCUCCAAACCCCUCACAGAGCCUCGCACAAAAGACUCAACGUACAAAAGCUUGCCAUGUCCUGCCUAGCCUUCCUGUGAUGUCAAUGAGGGCAGCAGAUUAUCGCACCUGCCUCUGCACGCCUUGCACCUCCUGGCACAACUCUUACCUCAGGAAUGACAACAAAAGCACCUGUCAUCAUCAUGAGCACUAUGUUAAUUCCGAACAACCACCUCAGGAAGAUGAAGUAGGAGGCCACGCCAGAUCCGAAGUGACCUAUGGGCAGACAACACGAGCGUGGCUCGGCUCAAGCCUCACAGAGCAGAAAGCCUGCCUCAGCAGGACUGCCUUCACCUCCACCAGCAGCACACACAGGAAGAGUGAUGUUGUAUCGAUGCCCCCCACCAGCUGGGUCAGCAUCCUGUGCCUGGUCUCCAGCUCUACGUACAAAAGACAAGCUCUAGUUCACCAGGACCGCUCUCUGAUAAAGUCCCUGGUGCUGUACUCAGCUAACAUGCCAAGAAAAGUUUACUAACUUAUGCAUGUUUUUGGAAAGUUAGAAACUUUCGAGACUUCCAUAUACUUCUGUCCUAUUUUGAAUCACUUUGCACAUUCCAAGGUUUCUCUAAGAUCCUUUGUCUUAAUUUCAACAUUAAAAAUAUCACGGUGUUAACAACUGAGGAAGCCAGAUAAAGGGUAUGUAGAAACUCUGUAACGUUCUGUAUACACACACUUUCUCUAAAUUUAAAGGUAAGAGAGCAUUUAACUCUGUUGAAAUAUCAAACAUGAUUUUUCUAACUUUCCAUCUAGCCUUUGAUUUUUUAUGUAUAUGAAGUCUAUUUUCUGAGGCUGGAGAGAAGGCUCAGCAGCUAAGAGCAUCAGCUGCUUUUCCAGAGGACUUGAGUGUGAUUCCCAGGAUCCACAUGGUGGCUCACAACCAUCUCCACUUCCAGACACCCUCUUCUGGCCUCUGUGAGCAAUGCACACACGUGGUGAACAGACACAUACAUGCAGGUAAUGCUCCCACACACUUGAAAAUAAACAAAUCUUUAAAAAGCAUUUUCCAAUAAGUAAAUUAAAAAGCAGUUUUCUGGAUAACUUCCCCCUUCACUUUUAUGAUUAAACAGGUCUCUAUGCUAAGGUCUCAUUUCUUAGGUUUUCUUCAAUGAUUUUCAUGAUUUCUGGCUGUGUAUUCAUACUAUUUAAUAGAAUAUUAAAAUCAAAGGACUAGAUUGACUCUUUGAAAUGGCUGAAUCAAUUGUCCCGGCAAUAUUUACAGAGUGAUUUCUAUUGACCCCAGUAACAGUUGGGUGUCGAAGGAGUGGUCUGCCUUCUUAUCUGUUUCUGAAAUGUUUGCCUGUUCCUUUGAAUGUCAGUCAGUCCCCACACUGUGCUGCUCUGUGCUGUUUGGUUUUUAACUUUUAUUAAUAUAUUUUAUUUAACCUUCUGUUCAUGUAAUUUCUUGGGAAUAUUUUCUUACUCCUAUCUCCCAAUCUAUCUCUUGGAUGUUUUCCUUCUUGCAUUUUAUGAUCAUGUGAUCAAGGACUCUAAGCAAUACACUGAGCAUAUUUGUGGAAUUGCAUUAAACUUGGGAACUGAUUUUUGGGAAAGUCUCCAACUUUGAAUAAAUGUCCCCCUGUCUCUUCAAAAGAACAUCAUCAUCUUGGCUCCAGCUUCAUGCUUUUCUUCACUUCGGGACAUUUUAAAGUUUGUUUAUCCUCUGUGCAUGUGGGCCAGGAGGA